GUGUUCAUUUCAGCAGCACAUACACUAAAAAUGGGACAGUACGGAGAAGAUUGACGUGGCCUCUGAGUAAAGAUGACAUGCAAGCUCUUGAAGCAUACCUAGAAGCC